rnacentral:tRNA from 1 species
CCGCCCGUAGUCUAGUGGAUAGGCCGCCGCCUUCUAAGCGGCUAUACGCAGGUUCGAAUCCUGCCGGGCGGGC